AAGACUAAACAUGAAGUUGGGGGAGGGGGAGAAAUCUAAGAAUAUGGGCAAGUGAGUAAAUUUAUGAGGAGCCAGAGACUAUGUGAAACAGAUUUUGGGUGUGGGAGUUUGCAGAGAGAGAGGGAGGGAGAUAAUGUAUGAUUUUCGAUGAAUGGCAAGAGAGAACAUUGAUAUGAAAAGAAUGCAGAAAUCAGCAACAAGGAAGAGGAAGGGAAAUUCAUGAACUUGUUCGGGUCCAUGUUCCAUGAGAAUUUGCUGCACACUGUCAUCACAUCUGGGCCAUGAAGCUGGGUCCCCAUACUGUAACUUGUUUGUAACUGCCUCAUCCUUUCAUUCUUCUACAUCAUUUACUUCAAUUUCUGCAUGUGUCUCUGAAGGUGAAUAAAUUUUCUCCACUUCCA